UAUGGUUUACAUGCUUACAUAUACCAGGCCCUACCACCUUAAAAUAUGCAACCUCAUCAGAUCUCUGAAGCUCAGCGGGGCCAUGGCCUGGUUAGUACUUGAAUGGUAGACCACUGGGAAUAAUAGGUGCCACAU
rnacentral:rRNA from 1 species